rnacentral:rRNA from 1 species
GACGAACGCUGGCGGCGUGCUUAACACAUGCAAGUCGAACGGAAAGGCCCUGCUUUUGUGGGGUGCUCGAGUGGCGAACGGGUGAUUAACACGUGAGUAACCUGCCCUUGACUUUGGGAUAACUUCAUGAAACUGGGGCUAAUACCGGAUAGGAGCUCCUGCUGCAUGGUGGGGGUUGGAAAGUUUCGGCGGUUGGGGAUGGACUCGCGGCUUAUCAGCUUGUUGGUGGGGUAGUGGCUUACCAAGGCUUUGACGGGUAGCCGGCCUGAGAGGGUGACCGGCCACAUUGGGACUGAGAUACGGCCCAGACUCCUACGGGAGGCAGCAGGGGGGAAUAUUGCACAAUGGGCGGAAGCCUGAUGCAGCAACGCCGCGUGCGGGAUGACGGCCUUCGGGUUGUAAACCGCUUUCGCCUGUGACGAAGCGUGAGUGACGGUAAUGGGUAAAGAAGCACCGGCUAACUACGUG